rnacentral:rRNA from 1 species
GCGUUAGUGCGGCACGGAACACGUGGAAUGUGUCCCACACCUAGCGCCNAACGUUUACGGUGUGGACUACCAGGGUAUCUAAUCCUGUUCGCUCCCCACACUUUCGCUCCUCAGCGUCAGGUAAUUCCCAGAGAACCGCCUUCGCCACCGGUGUUCCUCCUGAUAUCUGCGCAUUUCACCGCUACACCAGGAAUUCCAUU